rnacentral:lncRNA from 1 species
ACCUUCUAACCCCCAUUUUAUCCCCGAACCAAACACACACUUUGAGUAUUGAUCAAUCAUAUAUUCGUAUAUUUGGAUAGAUCAACCUUCGAAGUAGGGGAGAAUAGAAUUGCGGUUCCACUCAAACAAGAUGAGGGAAAACAUACCAAUCCAAAAUCUAUAGAUCAAAACCCACUGGGAUCAACACCAUCCAAUAACCUGCGGACAAAACAGUACCACAACCAGGAUUAUCCGAUCCCAUAACUGCCAAAUCUGAGAUAAUAACUUACCACUCAGAAAUUCUAAGUCCAUCCAAUCUU